GACGUAGGAGGCGAGCGUUGUCCGGAGUUACUGGGCGUAAAGCGCGCGCAGGCGGCCCUGCGCGCUGCCGGUGAAAGCUCCCGGCUCACCUGGGAGAGGUUCGGCAGGACGGCAGGGCUGGAGGGCGGUAGAGGGUGGUGGAAUUCCCGGUGUAGUGGUGAAAUGCGUAGAGAUCGGGAGGAACACCCGUAGCGAAGGCGGCCACCUGGGCCGACCCUGACGCUGAGGCGCGAAGGCCAGGGGAGCGAACGGG
rnacentral:rRNA from 1 species